CCUAUGGGUGGCUGCAGUGAGGAAUAUUGGUCAAUGGCCGGAAGGCUGAACCAGCCAUGCCGCGUGAAGGUCAGUGCCCUAUGGGCGUUAAACUUCUUUUGUGCGGGAGCAAUAAUGGUCACGUGUGGCCAGACGAGAGUACCGUACGAAUAAGCACCGGCUAACUACGUGCCAGCAGCCGCGGUAAUACGUAGGGUGCGAGCGUUAAUCGGAAUUACUGGGCGUAAAGGGUGUGCAGGCGGUUUUGCAAGAUGGAUGUGAAAGCCCCGGGCUUAACCUGGGAAAGCCAUACAUGACUGCAAGACUAGAGUGCGUCAGAGGGGGGUGGAAUUCCAAGUGUAGCAGUGAAAUGCGUAGAUAUUUGGAAGAACACCGAUGGCGAAGGCAGCCCCCUGGGACGCAACUGACGCUCAUACACGAAAGCGUGGGGAGCAAACAGGAUUAGAUACCCCUGUAGUC
rnacentral:rRNA from 1 species